rnacentral:rRNA from 1 species
ACGCUGGCGGCAGGCUUAACACAUGCAAGUCGAACGGUAACAGGGAUUAGCUUGCUAAUCUGCUGACGAGUGGCGGACGGGUGAGUAAUGCUUGGGAAUCUGGCUUAUGGAGGGGGAUAACUACGGGAAACUGUAGCUAAUACCGCGUAAAAUCUUCGGAUUAAAGGGUGGGACUUUCGAGCCACCUGCCAUAAGAUGAGCCCAAGUGGGAUUAGGUAGUUGGUUAGGUAAAGGCUGACCAAGCCGACGAUCUCUAGCUGGUCUGAGAGGAUGACCAGCCACACUGGAACUGAGACACGGUCCAGACUCCUACGGGAGGCAGCAGUGGGGAAUAUUGCACAAUGGGGGGAACCCUGAUGCAGCCAUGCCGCGUGAAUGAAGAAGGCCUUCGGGUUGUAAAGUUCUUUCGGUGACGAGGAAGGUUGGUAGGUUAAUAGCCUAUCAAAUUGACGUUAAUCACAGAAGAAGCACCGUCUAACUCCGUGCCAGCAGCCGCGGUAAUACGGGGGGUGCGAGCGUUAAUCGGAAUAACUGGGCGUAAAGGGCACGCAGGCGGUGACUUAAGUGAGAUGUGAAAGCCCCGAGCUUCACUUGGGAAUUGCAUUUCAUACUGGGUCGCUAGAGUACUUUAGGGAGGGGUAGAAUUCCACGUGUAGCGGUGAAAUGCGUAGAGAUGUGGAGGAAUACCGAAGGCGAAGGCAGCCCCUUGGGAAUGUACUGACGCUCAUGUGCGAAAGCGUGGGGAGCAAACAGGAUUAGAUACCCUGGUAGUCCACGCUGUAAACGAUGUCGAUUUGGGGAUUGGGCUUUGAGCUUGGUGCCCGUAGCUAACGUGAUAAAUCGACCGCCUGGGGAGUACGGCCGCAAGGUUAAAACUCAAAUGAAUUGACGGGGGCCCGCACAAGCGG